rnacentral:misc_RNA from 1 species
UUCAUCAAAUGUUUGAUCAAAGAUGAUAUGGUUUUUGAGUUAUGAAUGAGAAAAAAUAAAAUAGAGAACAAAAAGAAAGAACUAUCCUGAUUGUUUUAAUGCCUUCUGAAAGUUAGAAAUGUUUAAUUAAAGGUCAACAGAAUUUUUAGUGCUUGUCCUCUUCUUUUAUUAAUUGAAAAAGAACAACUAAAAAUUUAGAAAUUUCUUAUUUUCAAUAUUAUAAUAAUUUUUUCAUAUUGGCUGGUUACCUCUUGGCUCAUCCUUCCUUUCUCUGCUACAGUUACAAAAUGUAAG